rnacentral:ncRNA from 1 species
UUACCCAAUUUUAGUUCAAAGAGGUAGUGACGAAAAAUGACAACCAAAUAUUAUUAUUAAUAUUUGGAUUGAAAAUCUUCAAGUUUAAAUAACUUGUUGGUAAAGGAAAGGGCAAGUCUGGUGCCAGCAGCCGCGGUAAUACCAGCUUUCCAAGUGCAUAAAAUGAUUGUUGUGGUUAAAAAGCUCGUAGUUGGAUUAUAAAGAUUGUAUAAUGAGCAUCUUGGAUGUUUUAAUUUCAUUAUCAUCUUAUUAUUUUUAUUAUAUUUUUAUUAAUAUAAUAAACUGUUACUUUGAAUAAAUCAGAGGGUUUAAACCAGGCAUUUAUAUGCUUGUAUGGUCUAGCAUGGAAUAACACUAUAGAAAAAGUUAGUGUGGUUUCACUAAUCUUUUUCAUGAUUAAUAGGAACAAACGGGGGCAUUCGUAUCGCUACGUUAGAGGUGAAAUUCUUGGACCGUAGCGAGACGUCCUACUGCGAAAGCAUUUGCCAAGAAUGUUUUCAUUAAUCAAGAACGAAAGUUAGAGGUUCGAAGGCGAUCAGAUACCGCCCUAGUUCUAACCGUAAACUAUGCCUACUAGGUGUAUGAAUUAUUAGUUAUAAUAAUUUAUGCACCUUCUCGGAAACGAAAGUCUUUCGGUUCCGGGGGAAGUAUGGUUGCAAAGCUGAAACUUAAAGGAAUUGACGGAAGGGCACCACCAGGAGUGGAGCCUGCGGCUUAAUUUGACUCAACACGGGAAAACUCACCCGGGCCGGACACUAUAAGGAUUGACAGAUUGAUAGCUCUUUCAUGAUUUAGUGGUUGGUGGUGCAUGGCCGUUCUUAAUUUUAUUUAAAUAAUCAAACUUUAAAUUAUAAAAAUUACAAUCAAAUCAUUAAUUAAUUACUGAUAAUAAUAAUAAUAAUAUUUAUAGAAUUAAUGGACUUAUUGGUUUCUUCUAUCUUCGACUGUUUUAUCUUCUUUGGUGGGCUUUCAUAUUUGUGGGGAGGGGGGGUCUCAGAUUUUUGUUGGUUUCAGGUGUUCAUAGUAUUUUUUCAUCACACUUUCCUCUUCCUCAUUGGAUAAGAUUUCCUCCUUCAUUA